AAUAUGCUCCAUAAAAGAUCUGCUCUGUGUUUCUUCAAUGUAAAGAGCACUCUAUGCCUGCAUUUUAGUUGGCUGUAUUCCUCAUGAAUGAUAAUUCAUGUCCUCCAGGUGCUGGGUCAGAGACGAGGAAUAUCCCUCUAUGAAUAUAAUCUACUUGAGAAUGAACCUCUGGUUGCCGAGAAACACGACCCUGAAACUUACUGAGAUCUACCAUUAUGGGAGAUUGUAUGUUCCAAAGAGGACUGCACAAGUAUGUAUGUCUCAUCCCAAACGUUUCUCUUCGAGUGUUUCUGAUGCUCCUCCCACUGACAAGUUUGAGACCUGUACGUUCCAUACCCUUGAAACUGGGCAGGGUUUUGCGACAACUCCAAUUCAUUUGGUGAAAGUGAUGCUAUGUGAUUUCUGAGGUGAGGUCAUAAUAGAAUAUAGCAUCCAUCUGGCUUGCUCCCUCUUGCCACACACCUUGGGAACCCUGAUCCUAUAUAUAAGAAGUCAAACCAGAUAUCUUGAAGCCACCAUACCGAGAAGAGUAGUGGAGAAGCCUGUUAGAAAGAGUGAGAGAGACCUUAGGAGCCCCAGGCUGUGCCAGCCCUCAUCUGCCUGAGUCUUCUAGCAUCCACUGCUAUUCACAGUGAGCCAGGACAACCUACAGGUCCCUGGCAGAGUCAAAUGUAACACCUCAUGGGGUGUGCAUAACCAUCACGGAAAACAAGUCCCAUUGAAGAGGAACUCACAGCGAAACAUUAUAAAGCACACAAGGAAACAGGCCACCACAUUUGUGACUCAUAAUAGAGUUGUGGUUGGAACAUGGCUGCCCGGAUAAUGGCUCCAUUUUCCUGCUCCUUUGCUACCAGGUGUGACUAAGUAGCUAAGUUCUGGCCAAUGGGAUAUGAGCAAAUGAGAAGUGUGUCACUUCUGGAUCCAGGCCUUAAGAAGCUUCUACCAAGUAGAUAAAGGCAAUGCUCUGAGGAAUGGAAUAGAGAUAUGGAACAGAGGAGCCACCCUGACAACCUGGACCACUUAUCCUAAGACUGUUUCAGGAGAGAGAAAUAAACAUUAUGUUUCAGAGGAGUCAGAGAGGAAGAUCUCUUUCUUACAAUAACACUUUACCCUAAUUAAUAUACAUGAUAAAUGAAAACUGAUUAAAAUAAAAGGCAGACUCUCAGAAUGAGUUAAUAAUA